GCGCCGCUAGCUCAAUUGGCAGAGCAGCGGACUCUUAAUCCGCGGGUUCGGGGUUCGAGUCCCUGGCGGCGCA
rnacentral:tRNA from 3 species